rnacentral:snoRNA from 1 species
AUUCCAUGAUGAGGGCACUUCCGUAAUAAUUCUUCGUACCUUUCCCAUGUCUUAUACAAGGACUCGUCAUCCAUUUUUUGGAAAGUAGUGAUAUCGUUCCUCAACAU